rnacentral:rRNA from 1 species
AUGCUCUCGGCAUGGCUUGAUGUUGAACUGAAAUGCCCCACGCGAACUGCUGAACUGUUGUGCACAUCUGUGCCUUGCUUGUGCUCUAUAGCAAGUUUUCUCACAGCACAAGGGGAAUGUUUGGUUGGUGCCCAGAUUUACCCUACCAAAAUUUUGGCAGCCCUUCAUUUGGUUGGUUACCAAAUUUUUGGUUAUCUGUGGCAUCUUGCAAACUCAACUCAGAUGUUGCCACUUUUUGGCGACCUCCAGCCAAUUUUUUGGCUAGCCGAUUGUUGGCAAAAGUUCGGCUUUCAUUUGGCUGGUUACCAAAAUUUUGGUUGCCUAUGUGAUCUUGCAUAUUCCGAAGAUUUUGGCCAACAGAGGGUCAAGCAAUGUCUUGCAAAAUUUGCUAGGGGCACAAGCCAAACAUGCCCGCUUUUCUCAAAAUUUGUUAUGUGGUAUUCUCAGGGCGUCUGA